rnacentral:rRNA from 1 species
ACGGUCUCACCUCGCUCCUCUUCACUUCCUCCCUCGGCUUCUCUGUUUUUUUUUUCUUUCUCUGUUUUCCCCCCCUUUUUUUUGUUCUUCUCCUUUUCUUUUUUCCAUUUCGAUAUUCCUUCUUCGUCGAGUUUGGAUUGGAUUAAUCCCCGACCCAAACCCUAAUAAUCGAUCUCCCUGACCCGGGACUACGGGCCGGGGAUCGAUCGCCAUGCAGCAGAGGAUGAAGCAGGCGGCGGCGGUAGCGGCGCAGCAGCAGCAGCAGCAGAUGAUGCAGCAGGCGCUGCUCAUGCACCACCAGCAGCAGCAGCAGCAGGCGGCGGCCGCAGUGCCGCCCAUGUUCCCGCCGCACCACGCGCACCCGGGUCUCCUUGCCGCGCCGCAUAUAGAGCCCAUCGUUAGUGGGAACCUGCCUCCUGGGUUUGAUUCAAGCACAUGCCGCAGUGUGUAUGUUGGCAACAUCCAUCUUCAAGUCACAGAUUCACUACUGCAUGAAGUUUUCCAGAGUAUUGGUCCAGUUGAAGGGUGUAAGCUCAUCAGGAAAGAAAAGUCAUCUUUUGGUUUUGUUGACUAUUAUGACCGUAGAUAUGCUGCACUUGCUAUCGUGUCACUCAACGGUAGACAACUGUUUGGCCAGCCAAUAAAAGUCAAUUGGGCAUACGCAAGUACCCAGAGAGAGGAUACAUCAGGUCAUUUUAACAUCUUCGUCGGGGAUCUUUGCCCGGAGGUUACGGAUGCUGCUUUGUUUGCUUUUUUCUCGGCAUAUUCUACCUCUUCAGAUGCUAGAGUUAUGUGGGAUCAGCAGACUGGACGAUCCAGAGGUUUUGGUUUCGUUUCUUUUAGGAAUCAGCAGGAUGCACAAACUGCCAUAAAUGAAUUGAAUGGAAAGUGGCUUGGCAACCGCCAAAUUCGUUGCAAUUGGGCAACGAAGGGCGCUAAUGCUGGUGAAGAGAAGCAAAGUACAGACUCCAAGGGUGUGGUGGAGUUGAUAAACGGCUCAUCAGAGCCUGGCAAGGAGAAUGCAAAUGAAGAUGGUCCUGAAAAUAACCCACAGUAUACAACUGUUUAUGUUGGCAAUCUUCCCCAUGAUAUCAACAGCAAUGAUGUGCAUCGAUUUUUCCAUUUACUCGGGGCUGGGUCAAUUGAGGAGGUCCGUGUAACACGCGAUAAAGGAUUUGGCUUUGUGAGAUAUAGUACCCAUGAAGAAGCUGCACAAGCAAUACAGACGGGUAAUGGCCAAUUUAUUGGCGGGAGGCAGAUCAAGUGCUCUUGGGGAAGCAAACCAACUCCACCAGGGACAGCAUCUGCGCCUCUGCCUCCUCCGGCAUUAGCGCCAUACACGCCUGGCGUGUCAGCAGUUGACCUCAUCUCCUACGAGCGAUCCCUUGCUCUGAGCAAGAUGGCUGCCAACCAGGCCCUGAUGGGUCAGCACGCCGCCCUGAGGCAGGCCGCGAUGGGUAUGGGCGCCGGCGCCAGCCAGGCCAUCUUUGACGGGGGCUUCCAGAGUGUCAACCCUCAGCAGCAGCAGCAGCAGCUCAUGUACUACUGAGUGUAUGAAGCAAGUAUGCUGGCGACGGAGGGGGCUACAACACCCUCCUUCCUAAUAUAUAUACAUAUAUGGUUGAUGAAGCCUCACCAGGGCCUUUUCUUUUGUUAUUACUAGUUCAACAUCGCAAUUAGUAAUUUACUAUCCUUCGCCGCUGUUAACGCUCCGGGUCGCCGGCUAUAUAUAGCACCAAUGUACUAGAACAUACGUAUCCCUGACGUGUUAAGAGUUGGGCAAUUCUUAUUUUUAUAACUACUCCCACCAAUCCAAAAUAAUUGUCGCAGUUUUGAUCUAAGGUUAGUUUAACCUUAAUUUAAAACUGCAACACUUAUUAUGGAUAGAGCUAACCUUAAUUCAAACUAAGGUUAGUUUAACCUUAAUUUAAAACUGCAACACUUAUUAUGGAUAGAGCUAACCUUAAUUCAAAAUUGUGACGCUUAUUUUGGAUUGAAGGGAGUAGCAUAUAUGAUCAUGCGUUGUAACAGGAGAAAAGAAUGUGUUGCAAUAGGAGAAAAGAAAAUGAUGUGCUCAGGU